rnacentral:lncRNA from 1 species
ACAUCGUACAAGCCAAAAGUUUACAAGUUACGUAAGUUGUGUUUAAAAAGCAGGAACAUGAGCUCAAGAGACACUUGCAGGUGAUAGAAUUGAAAAAAGAAGAAAGAAAAUGAAACCACAAAGAAUCAUAUAAGUGCUGACAGCAACGUAACAAUGGAGUUGGCUCUAAGAAGAGCCCAGUUAAAUCAAUUGCCUACGAACGUAACUGGUCAUAGAGCACUCUGGAGGCAAUCUCACAGCGAAAAUGAACAUUAGAGCUCAGAUUAUCAAGAAAAUUACAGAUAUGUAUAAGUAUGAAGAACAUAAAGCAAUACAAGUUUUGCAUAAUUCUAAUCCCGACAGAGGUGCCAUAACAGAUCACUGGAACAGGAUAGCCACAUCCAAGUAAUCUCCUAUCUGCAGUGGCAAAAACAAGUGAACACCAAAUUCCGAAAAGGUAGGUUGAGGUUGAUGAUUCCAUAUAAACAAAGCAUUUACCUGAAAUUUAAGUUCACUCAAAGUUUUGCUGCCACUAUCUGGUCGCCUCAUAUUUGGA